rnacentral:rRNA from 1 species
UACAGAGGGUGCGAGCGUUAAUCGGAAUUACUGGGCGUAAAGGGCUCGUAGGCGGCCAACUAAGUCGGAUGUGAAAUCCCCAGGCUUAACCUGGGAACUGCAUCCGAUACUGGAUGGCUUGAAUCCGGGAGAGGGAUGCAGAAUUCCAGGUGUAGCGGUGAAAUGCGUAGAUAUCUGGAGGAAUACCGGUGGCGAAGGCGGCAUCCUGGACCGGCAUUGACGCUGAGGAGCGAAAGCUAGGGGAGCAAACGGG